rnacentral:lncRNA from 1 species
GUUUACUGUAGCAACCUCCAGACAGGCUUUCCUGCUCCUGCUCCUCCCCUCCAUGCGGCAGCCAGACCCUGUCCUUCUCUGCUCCUCUUGAAGAAAUACUUGAGGACCUUACAGGGGCUUCAGAACAUAUACCUUCUAUCACAAGUUGGGUGCACUGGGAAACAGACUCCGACAGAGACUUCGGCUUGCAGGAGGUUUACAGGGGAAGGCUCUCACAGUGGAGGAAGCAGAACCAGGCAGAGGGAACAGUUGAAUUGUGAUGUAGUCACAACAAAGGCCUCAGCUGACCCCAUGGGGAGCUGUGAGCUGGGGGGACUUUCAGAGUCGCUCUGCAUUAAGAUGGAAAAAAGAAGCUUGGAGAAGGGGAAAUGACUUUACCCAGCUAAGAAUAUGGCAAAGCUGAGCCAACUAGUCAAGUUUUCUGACCCCAAAUCCUGUAUUUCCCAUGACUCAUCUUGUGGAAGGCUGAGGCCUCAGUUUCUCUGUCAGCACCAGAUGGGGACUUCUUCAGCCUGACACUCCAUAACUCAAGGUUGCACCCACAUCUCCUACCUUUGGGGGAAGGAGAGAGGGAUUAUGGGACAGUGGCAUCAAUCUCCUUCCCAGGAUGGAUCCUCUGAGCUCUAUAUUUCUUGCCUAUAGUGACCAGGGAAUUUUCCUCUAUUGAUUGCUUUCUGUAAUCGAGCUUAACAAAUAGAACUUCCCUCAAAUGAUUCUUCCAACUAAACUGAUAGAAAGCUAACCUUGUUAUAUUUAUUGACAGAACAUUGAAAUAAAUAUUAUAGGUCUAGAGGGAAUGUUUCAGCUCAUUGAUUUUUUUAAGGAAAUAAUAAAUGGAGCCUAUUCCCUUUGGCAUAUUAUGCUGGGAAUAAUCUGAAAAAAUGCUUAGCUUGUUCAACACAGAGCUUAGAAACCCUCCUUCCACUCCCAGUGGAGCAGGGACCCUUUGCAUAAAUCUGCUUUGGCCCAGACAAUCAAUUUUCAAUUUUAAUUAUUUUCAAAACUCGUUUAUUAUUUGCUUGUUCUGUGAGUUUGGAGCUUUGCUUUUUAGUGAAUUUGUAGCCAGAGUGGUCAGAGCUCUGGCCUGGAUGGGGAACCUGUGGGAUUUCUUAGUUCUACCCACCAGAGAGGAAAACUCACUAUCCCUCUUUCCAGGGACAUUUGUUCUAGAACAGGGUCUGCAAACUAUGACCUCUGGACCAAAUCCA